UCGCAGACCGCGCAUGCGCCAAGCGUUUGGAAGAAGCAGAGAAGGGCCGCUCGCCCAUAUUCAGUUGGUAAAGAUGGACAUGAAGCAUAUCGCAUAAUCGUAUCAACGUGCUACCUUGCGUGCUCAAACGUAACUCUCCCACUUUCGCCGGCGGUGACAACGGCCAGGAGCGGCGCCUGCCCUACCGCCUUCCAGCUCAAUCCAAUUUCAGCGCGCGCUGAAGUGAUCAGAUCACUUAGUGGGCACUCAUAAAACACAACCCCAAGUGAGCCCAGGAAGGCUUUCGGCUGCCCUUCCCGUGAGCAAAAGGAUCCCUCUCCCCAUUGUGGGCAGAACUUCGCACUGAUCAAGAAUGCUGACAUUCAAUACAGCUGUGUCCGCAGCACAGAACAAUUAACGUAGCGAAACUUGACGUGCUGAGUUUCCCACUAAAUAGGAACCGUCCUACUCGAUACAGCCGUGUUUGCAGCAUUUAACGAACACCACGAGGAAUAUUGAUAGGCCUCAUCAAGCCUUGCAAAGGAUUCUAAAAGCAUCUUCGGCUGGGAAACAUGAGACUAUAGGCUCCUGCGAACAACGUUCGUUGGCCACUCGCGCCCCCCGACAUGGGCCUACGUCAUCUACGAAGUCGCCGUUACUCGGCAUGUGUCUCCGCUCGCCAUUGCCGGCUCGCUGGGUCCCUGCCUUUCGAGCGCCCCUAGGACCUGCUGGACGGCCCAGAGCUGUUCGUCUUAGUCGUAGCUCUUCGCGGCUGCCUCGAGCUACGUCCUUUUGACUUCUUCACCUGACGCCCUGUUCUGGUUUAGUCGGGCCUCUUUCCGGAACAGUGAUCGCAGCAUCUACGACCUUCGCACUUAUCUCCGCUGGAGGUCGUUCCUUUGUGUUGUUUGUCCUGAGCAGCUCGCGGAAUUUAGGGCUGAAGCCGCGCUUCGAAAGACGCGUCCCAAGCUGAUACUAAGAAUCGCUUCGCUUUCUCGAUUGCAAGGAGAGAUCGGAAGACGGAAAUACUGGUGAUUCCUCGUAUACAGAGGCCCUCGAAAACGCGCCAAAUUUAGUCGAUAAGAAGAUACGGCAAGGAAUCUCCGCGGGCACACUUUUGUUUCUUUUUCUUUCCUUCUCUCGGAUUGACUCUGAAACAUAAUGGUAGAGGACACACUGCGGGGUGAACCAAAUGGCUUCCCGGUAGUGACGUCAUAGCUGUUAUCGACACCUUUCCUUUUUGCACCGCGGUGGCGCUGCUAUUGGGGCGUCUGCACUUGCCGUUUUGACUAGGGCAGAAAGAAACAGCGAAAAUGUGUACGAUAUAGCGAGGCUUUCAUGUUAGACCACGCGUUCAGAAAAUGGCGGUUCCUCAGUGGUUUAUGCGGUUAGUGUCGCCUACGCGAGGAACAGGCGUUUCCGGUGAAAGAAAAAAUAAAGCGGAAGUGACGCCGUAUCUGGCAAGAAAACAAAUGACGCCAUUUUUUAUACUGGCACUUUGUUUUUUGUCCCGUUUAUUUUAAUUUUAAUUUAUUAUUAGGUUUUGCAGGCUUCGAAUGAGGGCGGUAUUUCUAAACUUCCUACAACUCGACGCGACUCCGCUGUGGAUUAAGCACUGGCAGUUUCAAACCGCUCUCGAUGGACGCUGUGAUGAUGGCUGCUUAGGUUUAAAGCCUUAUCAUAAGCGGACUAAGGUCUAGUGACAACUGCAUGAAAUUUAGGCACACUGCCGUCCCACCUUACUUUCGGCGCGAGAAGGAAUAUUCGGCGUGUUUGUGACCUUGUUAAAUUUGCCCUCGGUUAUUAUUUAUUUCGCAGCCGAAUAAGCGCACUCGGUGGUGUGCCAUGUGUUUCUUUCAUCGUUUUAUUCUUUGUAAUGCAUGAAGCGGUUUCUAAAGCCCAGGGUGACACUCCAUAGUGCCAGGGAUGAAACAAAAGUACUUCUAUUUAUGCCCGAACUUUUGACAAGAAAUCAGUUUUGUUGGCUGAAAACCACGAAACAAGAAUUAUGCAGUGUUACCUAAAGUUCGAACCAGCCAUGGCAAUGAAAAGAAAACAUACAUCAGCACUGCGUGCUUCAAACAUCUUGUGCCUCGCAAUCACAACGUGCCAUGAACAUUGCUGCCGCCCUGCCUCUACACUAGAGCUUCUAAGGAAUGAGUAUGCUCACCGUAACAUUCCGAAAACAACCAGAAUACAGAACAGCUUUCGCUCAAACUUCGAAAAGUCAUUCUUGCUUUGCGAAUCUCUCAUAGAUAUUUGGCACUUCUAAAUUUUCGACCAGCUGGCAGGUGGUAAAGAUCUAGAUUUAUGUUCGAGGUCGACGUAUAUUCCGGUUUAUAGAGUUUGUUUUACAGUUUUUCGAAAGGAAGUCAUGUGUGCUUAGAACAACCCAAACCACUUUAUAUUUCGCCCUUUUGCAGGAUUACAGGAAUGAUGCGUGUGUGAGAAC